GCGGAGGUGGCACACCCGUUCCCUUUCCGAACACGGAAGUUAAGCCCUCCCGCGCCGAUGAUACUGCAUCCCUAAGGUGCGGGAAAGUAGGUUGCCGCCAGGC
rnacentral:rRNA from 1 species